AUUGAACGCUGGCGGCAGGCCUAACACAUGCAAGUCGAACGAGUGGCGGACGGGUGAGUCCUGUCUGGCAAACUGCCCGAUGGAGGGAGAUAACUACUGGAAACGGUAGCUAAUACCGCAUACCAUCGGAUGUGCCCCGGUGGGAUUAGCUAGUAGGUGGGGUAACGGCUAACAAAGGCGACGAUCCCUAGCUGGUCUGAGAGGAUGACCAGCCACACGGGAACUGAGACACGGUCCAGACUCCUACGGGAGGCAGCAGUGGGGAAUAGUGGACAAUGGGCGCAAGCCUGAUGCAGCCAUGCCGCGUGUAUGAAGAAGGCCUUCGGGUUGUAAAGUACUUUCAGCGAGGAGGCGUUACUCGCAGAAUAAGCACCGGCUAACUCCGUGCCAGCAGCCGCGGUAAUUC
rnacentral:rRNA from 1 species